GAUCAUGGCUCAGGAUGAACGCUAGCUACAGGCUUAACACAUGCAAGUCGAGGGGCAGCAUGGUCUUAGCUUGCUAAGGCCGAUGGCGACCGGCGCACGGGUGAGUAACACGUAUCCAACCUGCCGUCUACUCUUGGACAGCCUUCUGGAAGGAAGAUUAAUACAAGAUGGCAUCAUGAGUCCGCAUGUUUCACAUGAUUAAAGGUAAGUUCCGGUUACGACGAUGGGAGG
rnacentral:rRNA from 1 species